AUAUUCUAACCUUACAGUUCCUAUUUAUCUAGGUAAAGCUUGAGCUGCCAUCUUGGUGUAGCCAGCACUCCAUCCAUCUCACAAUCUGAAGUCAGAAGUCUUGAGUUGGAGACUAUUCUUAAGACAGUAGCCAAGCAGAUAAUUAAUAAGGACCUAUUGUACAGCACAAGGAACUUUCCUCAAUGCUCUGUAACGGGAUGUAUGGAAAAAGAAUCUACAAAAGAGUAGAUGUUUCUAUUUGUCCUCUCACAAGUAAUUGGUCUGAGUCUCC
rnacentral:lncRNA from 1 species